rnacentral:lncRNA from 1 species
AUCUCUACGGUGACAACAGAGUCCACGAGUUUACAGGAACAGACGGACCAAGUGGAUUUGGCUUUGAAUUGACAUUUCGUCUGAAGAGAGAAACUGGGGAGUCUGCCCCACCAACAUGGCCAGCAGAGCUGAUGCAGGGCCUAGCCCGAUAUGUCUUCCAGUCAGGUAAUGGCCCAGAGGUUGGGGUGCUGGUCCUGUCCUGUGGCCACCAGCCUGGUGGGCUUUGGGAACUUGCAGGCAUAUUUUGAUGUCUACAGAGUCCUUUCGUGAGUGGAAAACUAUGUUGACCUUAACAGACCGAGAUUACGUCAGUGUCCUGACAUCCUGAGGCUUUGUUGCUGUCUGUCAUCACUAGUCUGUUCCCUGUUCCCAGUGGCCUGGCUGUCCCUGUGUCUGCUUCCAGGCCUCAAGUACACAGGCUGACCUUGGCUCCGUUUGGAAGGAUAGUAGACUGGAGCUUGCACCCUUCCCUCACAGGGCGGAGGGGAUGCUAAAAUCAGAGCUGAAUUAGAUUAUCCCAAUGCCCUCCAAGAGAUUGUCCUUUGCUCCCACUGCCCCCUGGGGACUGCUGCAAUGGAUCUUGGGUAAGGCCUUUGUGCUGGGAGUGAUCUUACUUUCUUAGGUCACUCGGCCAGAACCCCCCAGCCUGCAGAGGCUUCAGAGCUCCUGAAUAUUCUCAGUGCUAAUGUUGAGGGAGUUGAGAGGACUUACAUGACCUAGAUUCUGUUUCUUUGAU